GGACUGCUGGCGGCGGCGACGUGGCAGUGGCUCGUGGCCGCGUCCGCCUGGAGUUCCUGGAGACGCCCGCCCCGGGGCGAGCCGCGGGAGGGACCGAGCCGAGAGGGAGGGAGAAACUCAGCACCUGGCAGGGAAUGACGGAAAGAGAAGGAUGGAAUUGUUAGCAAAGCAAUAGCCCGGGUGCGUGCCCCGUGCAGCCCCAGGCCCCAGGCGCCAGCACUGCACGAAGCGAGGAAAGAGGAGGAAAAAAGCAGGAAGUAUGAAAAGGGAAUCCUGGGGAACAUAAGGCUGAAAAAAAUUGCAAAGAAUUAGGUUGAGGUGGGAGGAGAGAGAUAACAAAAUUCUUGACUGUAAAGCCCCAAAGGUCAGCCUCUCUGGUAAUAAGCAAUUCAAUUCCUUGUGUAAUAUGCUUGGCCCCUAAAAGCCCUCCGCAUCCGUUGCCUCCAUAACCCUCAGUUUAUUGUGGAGGGGUAGAGGAGGAAUGUAAGGCUCAACUAUCCGACUAUGAGCCUGGACGUAAGAAACUGCUGGCCCACCUCCUCCCAUGACCCACCUGAGACGGCUAGGAAUUCCCUAGCUUUAACAGCCGCGCGUUUGACUUACGAACGAUUCAUUCUAUGAAUUAAUGCGCCAUGUCUGACAAGAGAGACUUGAUUAGAGAGGGAUGAUGUUUCUGAGAAUUUAUUACCUGGGCAUUUGCUUUAAACAGCCUUAAAUGGUAUCUUUAGUCAAAUGUGGAGUAAUCAGAACUCUAUAAUGGCUCUAGAGUAGAGUAGUAUCAAAAACGUACAUGGCACACAGAAUUCCUGGAGUGCUGACUGCUGUUCAUGUGUCUGGUCUUAGCCUGCUGACUGCUGUUCAUGUGUCUGGUCUUAGCCGUCCUUCCAGCCCUAUACACUCCCAACAGGCUCAACAGGUAGUUCCUCAACUGGGCCAAGAUUCUCAAAUCUUUUGCACACUUUGGUUACUCUGCAUAGAAUCCCCACCACGUCUCUGUUUAGAUGCUACCUCUUCAGGAAAGCCUUUUUUAUCCCCCCUAGACAGACUUGGAGACAUGCAUUAACCUCUUACUCUUUGAGCUACUCACUGUAAAGAAAUAUUCUUUGAUAUUUUAUGAUUUUCUGUAUUUUCCCACUGGGCUGUAAGUUUCUUGAAGCUAGAACUAGAUUUUACAUACCC
rnacentral:lncRNA from 1 species